rnacentral:rRNA from 1 species
CAGUCGCCGCGGGAAUACGUAGGGUGCAAGCGUUAAUCGGAAUUACUGGGCGUAAAGCGUGCGCAGGCGGUUAUAUAAGACAGUCGUGAAAUCCCCGGGCUCAACCUGGGAACUGCGAUUGUGACUGUAUGGCUAGAGUGUGUCAGAGGGGGGUAGAAUUCCACGUGUAGCAGUGAAAUGCGUAGAUAUGUGGAGGAAUACCGAUGGCGAAGGCAGCCCCCUGGGAUAACACUGACGCUCAUGCACGAAAGCGUGGGGAGCAAACAGGAUUAGAUACCCGUGUAGUCCCUGUCUCUUAUAC